GAGAGCCCACCCCCGGCUCUCCCGCGGCCCAGGUGCCGCCGCGCCCCGCCCCUCGCCCCGCCCAGCGCUCGGGGAGUCCCGCUUCCGGGCGCCUCUGGUGGCCAAGGGGGCGCUGCGGCACUGAAUGUGAGCACGAGGGAAGGGGCUGGCUAACCUCCCCCAAGGAGACUGGCGGAGCCCCUUAUCACGCCCAGAGGAUCCCUCCAUGCCCAGGAUCGGCCGGUCGCCCCCCCCUCACCCCAAAGUCAAGCAAGGGUGCACUUUCCAGAGAGAACAACUUUGGCAAUAGGACCAAAGGGGUGCAGGACGCUAGAGACUCAGCUAGGAUGCAGGCACUCUGUGACACCAUCCAGACAAACGCAGGAGCCAGAUGACCUGGAAGGAUAAAGCUAGGAGUGUAUCCAUGCCUCGUCCAUCCACCUUCCAUAGAGUACACCGGACUAGGAUUGCCCCGAGCAAGUCAGCCACGGAAUUUACAGUUGACACAACAGAAGAGGAGCCAGGUGGCAUCUGGCUGCAGCUACCUGUCCCGGAAGUGCCUGGUGGUGGUCAAGUUCCAGGAGAGUUCUAUCCUUUAAUCACCGGAAGUUUCCGCCCAUGAUCAGAGUCAGCCAACAUUGCGGUCUGGGAACAGGGCGGUUACAUCUGUGGCGCUUGGAGCUGUGCCUGGCCCCGCAUCAAGCAGUCCUACUUAGCGGUUCUGCAUGGCUUGCAAACAAAGUGGGUUUGGUAACAAAGAAGCCCACGGCACCACACGGAAAAGCAGAGAGCCUUUAAAUUUCCCAGAACGGGAGCCUCUCACCAGACUGAAGUAGCCACCAGGUGAGGCACCUGGAGUUCUCCAAGCAUUUUCAAUUAAUCUUGGAAUGGUCGCUGGAGGCAAGAAGCCAGCGGCGCCUAAAGGAAUGAGAAAGUGCAAACUGAUCCAGAGGAAACAAAGGGCAGCGAGGGACCCCACAGCUGAGGCAGACGACACUGUGAGCGGCUCUGUCGGGAGGCUGGCGAGGCGUGCGCGCGCGGGUCUCUGCCUUAGCACCAUCUGCCGAUUCCUCAAGAGGACACAGAACAGACCAGCGAGCCAUGAAGAUUCGAUUAUGUAACGCGGGAGGAUUGCUUGUUUUCAAAAGGGAGACAAAUGGGAACGAAUUGAUUUGUUUGUCAAAGUCAUGGCCCCAAAGGAGACCAGUCCCCUCCUCUUCCUGGAGGAUUCAUCAAGGAAGGGGAGUGAUUUCACAGGCUCAGAAAAAAGGAGCCCAGGACUCACAGAGUCAGCUCAGAUGGUAACAGCAGCUCCUGGGCCGCAACGCGGUGAGCCACGUGGUAGAAGAAAAGAACCAACUUCAGCUAACAGUCCUCUGACCUCCAUAAGGGCACAUACCCACCCGCCGCGAAAUAAAUCCAUGCAAAACCAUAAUUCACUCCAUUCAUAAAAACGAGUCUAUUUCCAAAAUUGUGCUGGCAAACCUUUCUGGCUUCUCUGCUUGAGAAAUGACCAUUCCGCCGGUACCCAAAGGGCACAGCCAUAGAAUGGAACAUAAUUGGCACCCCCAACCCCAGCUUCAGAACCUGCCUGCUCUGUCUGACCUCUCUCGCUUGCUUUUAGGGAAGUAACAUCUGAUCUCAGAACCAGUGGGGGUCAUCUUACUAUUUCUAUUCUGAACUCUAGAAAGUGCUUUAGAGGCUAGGGGAUCUCUCUCUCUCUCUCUCUCUCUCUCUCUGUGUGUGUGUGUGUGUGUGUGUGUGUGUGUGUGUGUGUUAGUGUGUGUUAGUUGGUCCUUCCCUUCUACCAUGUGUCAGGGCACCAGCAACCAAACUCUGGUCAGCAAUAGCUAUCACCUAUGGCGACAUCUUGGUACCCUCUCACUUUCCUAUUCUUCUUCAUACUAUUCUGUCCUCGGUUUUGCUCCCUUGCCCUCCCUCGCCCUCCGGCUCUUGGGAGCAGCAGAAGACAGAGCAGAGGAUAAAGGUAGUGGUUCAGUAUCCCCAGCUCCUUCCCUGCCUCGGGUUGGCAGAGUCUUUGGAUAGAAGGUUGCCCCCUCUUCAAAGGAGCCUGGCCACUCGGGAGGCAGAGGCAGGCAGAUUUCUGAGUUCGAGGCUAGCCUGGUGUACAGAGUGAGUACCAGGACAGCCAGGGCUACACAGAGAAACCCUGUCUCGAAAGAAAGAAAGAAAGAAAGAAAGAAAGAAAGAAAGAAAGAAAGAAAGAAAGAAAGAAAGAAAGAAAGGAAGGAAGGAAGGAAGGAAGGAAGAAAGAAAGAAAGAAAGAAAGAAAGAAAGAAAGAAAGAAAGAAAGAAAGAAAGAAAGAAAGAAAGAAAGAAAGAAAAGAGCCUGGCUCCCAGAAUCCUCCCUUUCUGGGUUCUGUAACUUCCUCCUCCGCUGUCACAUCUUCGAGCGGUGGCAGGCUCUUUCUACCUCCUUGAACAUUGUAUCAAUCAUACGGUUUCCUUGUGCCCUCCCAAAACCUUGUAAAUCGUCCCUUUAUUAAAUCCUCCUCUGAUAGUCUAA